rnacentral:tRNA from 1 species
AGGUUUUAUAGUUUAUAUUAAAAUGCUAAAUUGCAAGUUUAGAGAAUUGUUUAAGACUUAU